rnacentral:rRNA from 1 species
GACGUAGGGCGCGAGCGUUGUCCGGAUUUAUUGGGCGUAAAGAGCUCGUAGGCGGCUUGUCGCGUCCGUCCGUGAAAACCUGCGGCUCAACUGCAGGCUGGCGGUCGAUACGGGCAGGCUGGAGUUCGGUAGGGGAGACUGGAAUUCCUGGUGUAGCGGUGAAAUGCGCAGAUAUCAGGAGGAACACCGGUGGCGAAGGCGGGUCUC